rnacentral:rRNA from 1 species
AUCGGAGGACUGGGCGCAGCCUGACCGCAAUGCCGCGUGGGUGAAGAAGGUCUUCGGAUUGUAAAGCCCUCUCGGCGGGGACGAUGAUGACGGUACCCGCAGAAGAAGCCCCGGCUAACUUCGUGCCAGCAGCCGCGGUAAUACGAAGGGGGCUAGCGUUGCUCGGAAUCACUGGGCGUAAAGGGCGCGUAGGCGGCCCUGUUGGUCCGGCGUGAAAUCCCUGGGCUUAACCUGGGGGCUGCGCUGGAGACGGCGGGGCUGGGGGCCGAGAGAGGGUGGUGGAAUUCCCAGUGUAGAGGUGAAAUUCGUAGAUAUUGGGAAGAACACCGGUGGCGAAGGCGGCCACCUGGCUCGGACCUGACGCUGAGGCGCGACA